AUAUUGCGCAAUGGAGGGAACUCUGACGCAGCUACGCCGCGUGAGCGUGGAAGGUCUUCGGAUCGUAAAGCUCUGUCCUUGGGGAAGAAGGUCUUCGGAAUUGAAGGUACCUAAUGUGGAAGCCCCGGCUAACUACGUGCCAGCAGCAGCGGUAAUACGUAGGUGGCAAGCGUUGUCCGGAAUUAUUGGGCGUAAAGCGCGCGCAGCCGGUCUUUUAAGUCUGAUGUGAAAGCCCCAGGCUCAACCGGGGAGGGUCAUUGGAAACUGGGAGACUUGAGUGCAGAAGAGGAGAGUGGAAUUCCAUGUGUAGCGGUGAAAUGCGUAGAGAUAUGGAGGAACACCAGUGGCGAAGGCGACUCUCUGGUCUGUAACUGACGCUGAGGCGCGAAAGCGUGGGGAGCAAAC
rnacentral:rRNA from 1 species